CAGUAGCCACGGUAAUACGUAGGUGGCAAGCGUUGUCCGGAAUUAUUGGGCGUAAAGGGCUCGCAGGCGGUUUCUUAAGUCUUGUGUGAAAUCUAUGGGCUCAACCCAUAGUCUGCACAGGAAACUGUCGGGCUUGAGAGUGGGAGAGGUGAGUGGAAUUUCCGGUGUAGCGGUGAAAUGCGUAGAUAUCGAAAGGAACACCUGUGGCGAAAGCGGCUCACUGGUCUGUAACUGACGCUGAGGAGCGAAAGCGUGGGGAGCGAACAGGAUUAGAUACCCCCGUAGUCCCUGUCUCUUAUAC
rnacentral:rRNA from 1 species